ensembl:ncRNA Y37E3.26 ncRNA
UCAGAAUGAUAGUUGGCUCUUCUUUAACACUGUUAGAUUCCGGCGAAACAGGCUUCGUGCUUGUUUGUGAGAUUCUGCAAAAACUGAAACAAUCGGAUUUCUCAAGUAAAUUAAUGUGACUCACUUUACAGGAU